CAGCCGCCGCGGUAAUACCGGCGGCCCGAGUGGCGGUCACUCUUAUUGGGCUUAAAGCGUCCGUAGCCGGGUUGGGAAAUCCUCCGGGAAAUCUGGCCGCUUAACGGUCAGAAUGCCGGAGGAUACUCCCAGCCUAGGGAGCGGGAGAGGCCGAGGGGAUUCCCGGAGUAGGGGGGAAAUCCUAUAAUCCCGGGAGGACCACCUGUGGCGAAGGCGCUCGGCUGGAACGCGUCCGACGGUGAGGGACGAAGGCCAGGGGAGCAAACCGGAUUAGAUACCCGGGUAGUCCUGGCUGUAAACGAUGCGGACUUUGUGUCGGACAAGCUAUGAGCUUGUCCGGUGCCGGAGGGAAACCGUUAAGUCCGCCGCCUGGGGAGUACGGCCGCAAGGCUGAAACUUAAAGGAAUUGGCGGG
rnacentral:rRNA from 1 species